CAGCAUCAUACACAACAUCUUUGAGCCUCCUCACCCAAGCUUUUACCGCAUCGCUCUCCUCCUGCCUCUUCUCAGCAUCAACCAGUACACCUUUGAUGGUGUGCAGCUUCUUCGUAAGCUUCGUCAACUCUUUUGUCACAUCAAACGCAGAUCCAAUUUGUUGAAAAGCCGAGGAGCCCAACUUGGUUAAAACGUUAGCUAUAGUAUUGAAUGGUAUUUGUUCAGCCAUUUUGGAAGAGCUGAAACAGCAGAAGACCAAGAAAGUAUGGUAAGAGAAGGAGAAGUUGAGAGAAUUGUAAGAGAGAAUACCACCAGACAAGUAGUGAUGAUAUACACAGAGCUAGUGAGAGGAUAAUAGAAGUCAGAUGCAGUGGGCCUAAUAUGAUAUACUUUGAUUAGUCAAAAAGCAAUGUGGACUUAUCAUAUGCUCAUCAAAUAAUUUCUAGAAAGAGAUUUCAAUGUAUUUAUGAUUUUUAGCCAUGCAUUUUUACAUCACAUUAUGGCAUUAUUUUAUAUUGAUUAGUUGCACUCCUUCUAUUAAUGAAUUAAGAUAAGAUUUAUAUAUGUAAUUGGUCAAUUGUUAAAGCUCAAAUAAAUUGAUGAUUUUAUAUAAAUAAAAUAAAAUAAAUAUUGAUGAUUGAAUUUUAUGAAUGGAAAUUAAUCAAAAACUUAUGAAAUAUUAAAAAUAUUUUAAAAAAAUAAACAAUGAAGUAAUAAUAAAGAGUACAUGAUAAACCACAUAAAAUUAUAUCCAAUGAAAUCAAAUAUUAAACUAAUAUUUAAAUUGAAUUAAUUAAUUAUAGAGUUAUCUCAAUAAGUAAAUAAUUAAAUAAUUAAAUUUAUAACAAUGAAGCAUAAACAAUGAAUCUAAAUUUAAUAUUAAAAAUUUUGAAUUAAUACUCAAAUUGAACCAUAGGCAUAAUUUAUAACAAUAUUAAUUUACUGACAUACUCAAAUUAAUACUCAAAAUUAUAAAAUUUUGAGAGAAAUAAGAAAAUUUUUGAUGCAAUUGAUACGAGUUGUGCCUCAAAAGUAUAAAAUUUUGAGAGAAAAUGAGAAAAAAAAAAUUGAUGCAAUAAUUAAUACGAGUUCAGGAAGGCUUUCAAGUGGAAUGGAGAGGAAAUGGAAUAGAGAUGAAAGCAUUUAUACUGGGAAUCAAAAUAGCCGUUGGGAAAUGUGUUUGAUUGUUGGAUCACAAUCAGAUCGAAAUCUGACCGUUGGAUCAUGAAGUAGCCUUUGAAAACCGUUCCUGACCAUUGGAUGAUAUCAGGGAUCAUUACGGCCGCUGGACUGGAGAGACAUUGGGACUUGGCAGGGGGCCAACGUCUGCUUUGUGGGUAACAAAACAUCGGGGAAAGCCUGUGCAUGUCAGCGUUCACAUGCCAAACUUUCCUUCCAUCACGUUAAUUUUUAUUUUUUAAUGCUUUCAAAUCACAAUAAUACGGAAAAAAUUAUGUUUUUAACCAACCACCCUACCAAGAAAUAGUAAUUAACAAAAAUAUUAUCUUUAUUCUAUUACUCUUUCGUAUAUCACUAUUCUUUCUUAUUUAAUCAUUUUUUAUUAUUUAUUCAAAUUCUUUUAUAAAUAAUUAAAAAAUCAAUAUUAAUUUUUAUUUUUAAAUUAUAAAUAAAAAUAUAUAUUAAUUAUUCAAAGACUAUUUUAAAAAAUACUUUCUAAAAAAUAUUAAUUUAAAUAAAUAAAAUUUAUUUUUUACAUUUAUUUUUAUCUUUUACUUUUAGAAGUAAAUAAUUUAAUGAUUAAAACACUGUUUAAAUUAAAUAUAUUCACUAUUUUAAUUUAUUUUAUAUUAAAAAUUAUUUAAAGUUUUUUUUACUAUUAUAAAAUAAAAAGUUAACCUUUUUCAAUCUUCUUCCUUCUUUAUUUUAAUAACUUUUUUAACAUGACUUUUAGUAAUAAGUUAUAUGAAAUAUUAAAAAUUUAUUUAUUAAUGAUUUGAAUUAAUUGAAAAAUUAUUAAAAUAAGAAAAAGAAAGAUUAUAGAUGAAGAGUUUUUAUUUUAAGUACUCAAUUAAAAUGUUUUCAUAUGACCUAAUUUUAGAAGUGGAUUAUAUCAAUACACAGUAGAGAUUGAAUUUUUCUUAUAUAAAAGGGUUGAAAUAUAUAUUUACUUAUUUUAAAUGAAAACAAGUAGUUAUAAAUUAUAUAGAUUAUAUGUGAGUUUGGUUUUAAAAUAUUUUUCUAGUUUUUAUUUUAUUUUUAUUUUUUUUAAAUAAUUUUUAUUUUCUAUAUUGUCUCUUUUUGAAAAUACAUUUAAUUAAAAAAUGAAAACUAUUUUUGAAAAUGAAAAUGGAAAACCCUAUUUUUUUAUAUGAAAAUAAAAAAAAUCAUUUAUUCAUUUAUUGUGUGUCACUGUACAAUUAUAUUACAUUAACUGUACAAGGGAAAUGUACUAAAUGUACAAAGGUGUACAAAGCUACUCUUUGUGAAAUAUUACAAUCGAUUAUGAGUUAUUAUUUUAUUUUUCUUAUCACUCACGAAUUGUACACAUAUGUCAUAUACUUUAUUUAAUUCUCGUAUGGAAAUUCUAAUACUUUCCCCAAUAAUGAUAUAUGGGAAAAAAAUUUUUGACCUUAAGUCAUCCACCAUCUUCUCAACUAAAUCAUUGGAAAUAUGGUUAAACACUUCUAUGUGAACACAUAACUUAGAAGAGAUAUGAAAUUUGUGUUAUUGUACAAGAGUAUUACACUAAUUGUACAAGGAAAAUGUACUAAUUGUACAAAGGUGUACAAGAUUAUCUUUUGUGAAUGAUUUCAAUCGAUUUUAAACCAUUUUUUUAUUUUCCUUAUCACCCAAUGAUUGUACACCUAUGUCAUGCACUUUAUUUAACUUUCACAUGAAAAUUCCAAUAUUUUCCCCAAUAAUGAUAUUUGGGGGAAAAAAAAAAUGAUCCUAAGUCAUUCACCAUUUUCCCAACCAAACAAUUGAAAAUAUGAUUAAUACAUCUACAUGGAUAUAUAACUUAGGAGAGAUAUGAAAUUUGUGUCAUUGUACAAUGAAAUUACACUAAUUAUACAAGGAAAAUGUGUCAAGUGUACAAGGGUAUAUGAGGCUUGUAAUAGGUUUUGUACUAUUUUCAACAACUUGAGUUUGAUAUUAAGAUGAUUAUUGAUAGUUUUUUUUUUUAACCAAACUAUGUCAUUAAGACAUUCCCUACAAAAAUUAACAUAUAGGAAAUAAAAUUAAAAUAAAUCAUAUUUGAAUUGUUCAUUAUAAGUAAACUAAAUGAAAUAUAUAUUUUUUACUAUUUUGCCUUUAUAAACAUAAUUUCAUUGUUAUUAAUAGAGAUUAAAAAAAUUAUAUUUAAAUGGAAUUAAAAAUAAACAAAAAAUUAUUUUUAUAACAUUUUUAUUUUUUAAAAUCAUUAAUUUAAAUUACGAAAUUAGUUUUAAAAUUUAAAAUAUUUGUUGUAAUUAUAGUUUUGAAGAUUUCAUGAUUUUUAUCUUAUUACUUUGAAAAAAUUGCUUUAAUAAGAAAAUAUUUAUUUUAAUGGUUUUAAAUAUUUAAAUCUUUAUUAAAAAAAUAUUUAGGAUUAGUGUGGGGAACAAUUAGAUAAUUUUAGAAUGGAGAAAUUUUGAAUAUUUUGAAGACUUUAAUUUGACCAAUUACCCUAUUUACACUUUUAAAAUUAUUGGAAGGUUGGUAAAUUAAUCUUAUAAAUAUUGUCUUUUUGAUUAAUAUAUAUAUAUAUAUAUAUAUAUAUAUAUAUAUAUAUAUAUAUAUGCAUGCAUGUGAGUGUUUACAUUAUUUUUGAAAUAAUAUGAGAAAUAAUAAACACCAUGUGUCUAAUUCGCAAGUUAGAAAAAAAAAUUAAUAAUAUUUUAUGAGGUAUUUAAAAAGUAUUUAUUAUAUGUUCUAUAAAUUUGAAAAAAAAAAUAAUAUUUGAUGAUAUAUAAUUUACAAAUUAGAACAAACAAAUAAUGCUAAUAUUUUAUGAGGUGUUUAAAAAUUAUUUAAUAUAUAUGAGAAAUAGUAUAAGUUUGAAAUAAAGAAUAAUAUUUAUUAUAUAUUAUGUAAGUUUUCAACAUAUUUAAAAAAUAUUUAUUAUAUAUUAUGUAAGUUGGAAAAAAGAAUAAUAUUUGAUGAGGUAUUUAAAAGUUAUUCAUUUUAAAAAUGCAUUUGGCAAUAAUAAUUUUUAACCAUAUUUCAUAUUUAAUUUGAUGAAGAAAAAUGAUUCAACUUGGUUCCACUAUUAAAUAGGUGAGAAAAAAGAUAAAAGAGUCAAAGAAAGAAUGAGAAAAAUGAGGUGAUUGGUUAGUUUUUUACAUUUAAUAGUUAAAAGUAUUUUAAGGAUUUUUUAAAGACAAUAUCAUUCCUCUCAAUUUCUACUUUCUCAUGGAGUUUUUGAUUUAAUUAUGAGUGAUAGGAGAACCUUACCUUAAUUACUCAAUAUGGGUUGAACACACAAUUGUAAAUAUAAUGCUAUGAUUUUGUGAAAAUAUGUCUUUUCUAAUGAUCAUUUAUCUACAUAAUUUAACUAACUUUUAGUUUAUAAGUUCUUAUAAUAAUAAAUUUUGAAUAUUAUGAGGAUGGAAAAUUAAGUGAAUAAAUACAAGAAUACAUCCGAAAAAGAACAUUAGCUUUGCAAACACAAUAACAUAAAUAGUUGAAUUCAAAUGGAGUGAUCCAAAUAUUUUAAAAAAGAACAAAUAAGUCACUGGUGUUUGGACUUUGGAUUCUCCCCACCUUCUUUUUCAAUAUAUAUAUUUGGGUUUAAUUAUGGAUUCGGGUUUUUUUUUUUUUUUUCAUUUGAAGCAAAAAUAGUAAAAUUCUUACAUUUUAAUUAUUAUUUAUGAGUAAAAAAUAGCUUCCAAAUUUAGACCUUUAAAAAUAUUUUUUAAAUUGAGUAGUACUCUAAAUAGUUAUAGAAUUAACAUAAACAUUAUUGAUGAAUAGAAAUUUUAUGAGAAAAAUUAUUGUUUUUCAAGUUAAAAAUAAAUGAAUAUUAACUAGUAAUAGGAGAGGAUAUUAGAAGUGGUAGGUGGUGGCGGCAUUAAAAGUGGGUAUGGUAGACUCGAAGGAGAAUAAGAGCAAUCAGUGCGCUUUGAACUUUCAACAAAAGUGGUCAAAAGACAAUUACGUUGGGUGGAAAAUUGAGAUAGGAUGCCAUGUUGUGGGUCCUAAUCAUCUUUGGAUUCUUCAAUAUAAUCAAACUGACAAAGCAAAGUGAUACAGGGCAGGCUGAUGUGAAAGUAAUGUGAACGCAGAGAGGGUAACGUUUAGAUUUUAUUGAAAAAGUAAUGUGAACCCAUAUUGUAUUUGAUAGAAAAAUACGGAAAGAAAGAAAAUAUUGCACUGAAAUAUUCAUUGAAAGCAAUGUGAACUAUAAUGAAGUGAAUGAAUAAUAUAUUUUAUGUACAUUCAAAUAGGAAAAGAAUUGACUUAUUGAUUUAAUUAUAUCUAGAUUUAAUCUUUCUUUUAUUAUUAUUAUUAUUUUUAAAUUGAAUAUGACACUUAAAACUCUUAAUCAAGCAUAUUAAUCAAAUGAUAAAUUCUAAGUGAAAUUUGACAUAUUUUAUUUAUUACUUGAAUGAUUAAAUAAAAAAUAUUAUUUGAUCAAAAUAUUUUCCAAAACUUGUUCAAAUACCUUAAAUAAUAAUAAAACUAACAUGUUUAUAACUACAUUAAAUCAAGAAUAUUAUGUUUAAUUCCAUAAACAAAGCUCCUUAAUUUCUACAAUUUGUUGGACAUAAUAUCAACAUACGACUACUUUCAUGAAUAAAUAAUAAAAUGAAGUAAAAAAAAAAUCAAAUUAUAAUCCAGAAUAGGAUUAGAGAAGGUUUUUUUUCCUUAUAGUUCAUUAUUAUUAUUAUUAUUAUAAGAUUAUGUUUGGUUUUUGAAAAUUUUGAAAGAAAAUAUAAAGGAAAGAAAAUAAAAUAAAAAAUAGAAGGAAUGAAAAAGUAAAAGAAAAAAAGAAAGAUUAAAAAUUAGUAAAUUAUUUUUAAGUGCUCUUUUAAACUAAUUUCACUUAUUUUUUUCUAUAAUAUAAAUAUUAAAUAAUUUUAAAUUAAUUUUAAUUAUAUUUAAUUUUCUUUCAUAUUUUUCAUAAUGAAAUCAAAUAAAAAAAAACUAUUUUCCUUAAUAUUUUUUCCCUUAUUACUUUCCGAUAAUGAAAUAUAGUCUAAAUGUUAAAUAUAUUCAUUUAUACACAUUCAAUCUCGGAAUUUUAUGAGUGACACAAAUUUAAUUUGUAGCCUUAUUAGUUAUAAUUAUGAUUUUGUUGAUUCUUACUCUCAUCACCUUUUUAAAAGAAGAUUGAAAUGAAUUGCCAUUCAUUUUUCUUUUUAUCAUUUCAAUCAGAAAAAGCAAAUGAAAUGGUUUCUAUUAAUUAUAUUGUAAUUUAAAGAUACAAUAUUGUGUUGUAUUUAUUUAAUAUUUUAUUUGAAAAUUUGGACAAUAGUUUGAUUAGAUCAACCAGAGAAUUCAAGCUAUCAUUUAAAUUUUUAAAACCUAUUUGAAAAUUGAAAAUUUGAAAGAAAAAAAAUAAGAAAGGAAAAUUAAAUAUUUUUUGUUUGUAAUUUUAUGAAUAUUAAAUUUUAACCCUCUAAAAAAAGAUUUCCAUAUAUUAUCAUUAUAAACAUUUUUAUAUUCAUGAGGCACAUCCUCUUCAAAUUUACGAUUUUCUAGUCAUGCAUUUUUGCAUUACAUUACGACAUUCCUUUAUAUUAAUUAGUUACAUUUUUUCUAUUAAGGAUGAAUUAAGAUAAGAUAAUUAUAGUUUACUUUAUCUCUAUAAUUUCUCUUGGGAGGUUAUUUGAAUAAUAGGAGAGAAUAUUAGAAGAAGUGGUAGGUGGUAGGCGGUAGGUUGUGGUGACAUUAAAAGUGGGUAGACUAGAAAGAGCAAUAAGUGGGGUUUGAACUUUCAACAAAAGUUGUUGAAAGACAAUUAUUUUGGGUGGAAAGUUCACAUAAAUAAGAUGUCUCGUGGGGUCCUAAUCAUCUUUGCAUUCUUGAAAUAAUCAAACUGACGAAGCAAAGUGAUAUUUGCCAUGUACUAUCAAGAUUUUGACAAAAGUACCAUUUAUUUGAAAAAAUAUUUAUUAGAAUAUGACAAUUUUAAAACUUUUAAUUGAACUUGUUCAUUUUAAAAGACAAUUUCAAAAUUAAAAGACCACUUUUAAUUGGAUUUCUCUUACCAAGAUGGUUUGAAAAUAUUUUUUCAAUUGUUAUAUUAAUUUUUAAAAUUAUUAUAUAUUUUUUUAAUUCCAUGUAUUAAUACCCACUUCAAAAAUAAACAAAUGUAAAAUUUGGUAUAAAAUACUAUCAUCUUUGAUGAUAAAUGAGGUUAAUUUUGAAGAGAAAAGUCUUAUUUUAGAUUUUGAGUACGAUAGGGGAAAAGAUAAUUCGAAUUUUCCGUGACCAAACCAAAUCAAUUUGAUUUUUUUUUAUAAAUUAAUUUUAAAAUUUUCAGUUGAAUUUAUUAUUGGAAAAGUUAAAUAAAAAGAUAUUAAAUUUUAGUCAAAACUCGAUAUCAAUUCUAAU
rnacentral:lncRNA from 1 species